GCAUCUGGCUCUGAGAACUGAAUUCCAUAGGCUGUGAGCUCAUGCAAAUGCCCUAGGAAGUCAGUUCUGGAGUCCGGUGACCUCGA
rnacentral:pre_miRNA from 15 species